UACGAAGGGGGCUAGCGUUGCUCGGAAUCACUGGGCGUAAAGCGCACGUAGGCGGUUUCUUAAGUCAGGGGUGAAAUCCCGGGGCUCAACCCCGGAACUGCCUUUGAUACUGGUAGUCUCGAGUCCGGAAGAGGUGAGUGGAAUUCCGAGUGUAGAGGUGAAAUUCGUAGAUAUUCGGAGGAACACCAGUGGCGAAGGCGGCUCACUGGUCCGGUACUGACGCUGAGGUGCGAAAGCGUGGGGAGCAAACAGG
rnacentral:rRNA from 1 species